CCCCGCGCGUCACAGUGCCCGGCCGCCCGACGCCGCGUUGGCCGCGGCAGAGGGCGGCCCGAGCUGACCUCCGGCCCGCGGGCCGCGCGUGCUCAGUGCGGGCGGCCGGUCUGGGGGGCGGGGCCGCGCGGUCACUCCCGACCCCACUCACUUGCAAAGGUCGGGAAGGACUGGACUUGGGGAGCAACUUCUGCGGUAUUUCCACUGGGGGCUGCACAGUGAGAUUCUCAUGAAGCUACAGACCAAUUUGAGGACGUCUGACAACUGAGUCUUCUGAUCCAAGAACUAGUGUGAAUUUUUAGGUAAUCUUGGAUUUCUACCAGUAAUGUUUUAUUUAUUUAUUUUUAAAGUGUUUCUUUGUUUUUAUAAAUUUUUAUUUAUUUAUGGCUGCGUUGGGUCUUUGUUGCUGUGCGUGGGCUUUCUCUAGUUGUGGCAAGCGGGGGCUACUCUUCGUUGUGGUUCGUGGGCUUCUCAUCGCGGUGGCUUCUCUUGUUGCAGAGCACGGGCUCUAGGCGCGCGGGCUUCAGUAGUUGGGGUUCGCGGGCUCUAGAGCUCAGGAUCAGUAGUUGUGGCGCACGGGCUUAGUUGCUUCACGGCAUGUGGCAUCUUCCCGGACCAGGGCCUGAACCCGUAUCCCCUUCAUUGGCAGGCGGAUUCUUAACCUCUGUGCCACCAGGGAAGCCCUCUGUUAGUAAUGUUUUCUACUUUUCAUUGUAUAGGCCGGAAUACCUUUUGUCAAAUUUAUGCCUAGAAAAUCCAUAUCUUAUGCAAUUGUAAAUGGUAUUUCAAAUUUCAAUUUAAUUAUUUAUUGCUAGAUACAGGAAUUUAAUUUUUGCAUACUGGCCUUGUAUCUGAAAUCUUGCUAUACUCACUUAAGUUUUAGUAGCUUUUUUUUUUUGGUGGAUUUUUAGGCAAUUAUAUACUUGAAAAUAAUUUCCAUGUAUCUGUGUAUUUCCCAAAUUUCUUUCACAAGUUCCAUUGUGGUCAGAAAAUAUACUUUGUGUGACUUCAGAUUUUCAGUUCUAUUGAGACAGGUUUUAUGUCACAGCAUAUGGUCUAUUUUGGAGACUGUUCCAUGUGCAUUUGAGAAGAAUAUGUAUUCUGCUGUUGUUGGGCAGAGUGUUUGAUAGAUGUCUAUUAUGUCCAGCUAGUUUUUAAUGUUGUUCAAGUGUUCUAUAACCUCAUCAGUCUUCUGCCUAUUUAUUCUGUCAAUUUUUGAAUGAGGGGAAUUCAAGUCCCCAACUCUUAUUGUUGAAUUGUCUAUUGUUUUCUUUAGAUUCUGUCAGUUUUUGCUUCCUGUUAACAAUUUUUAUCUUAAAAUCUAUUUUUUCAGAUAUUAACAUAGCUGCUCCAGCUCUCUUAUUGUUGCUGUUUAUCUUUUUACAUACUUUUACUUUGACAGCUUUAUUGAGAUAUAAUUUACAAAUCAUACAAUUCAUCCAUUAAAGUGUACAAUUCAAUGAUUUUUGGUACAUUACAUCAUUAAUUUUGUAAUUGUAGUGAAAUGUAUUUAACAUAAAAUUUGCCAUUUUUGCCAUUUUAAAGUGUAUAACUCAGUAGCGUUAAUUGCAUUUAAAAUGUUGUGCAAACUUCACCACUGUUUCCAAAACUUUUUCAUCACUCCAAACAGAAACUCUGUAACUGUUAGGCAACACUCUCCAUUCCACCCUCUCCCUAACCCUUUGUAAUGUCUAAUCUACUUUCUGUCUCUAUGAAUUUGUUUAUUCCAGAUAUUUUAUGUAAGUGGAUUCAUACAAUAUUUAUCCUUUUGUAUCUCACUUAUUUCAUUUAGCAUAAUGUUUUCAAGGUUCUUCCAUGUUGUGGCAUGUAUCAUAUCUUCAUUCCCUUUUAUGAUUGAAUAAAAUACCUUUGCAGGUGUA